UACGGAGGGAGCGAGCGUUGUUCGGAAUCACUGGGCGUAAAGGGUGCGUAGGCGGAUUAGCAAGUCAGAAGUGAAAUCCCCGGGCUUAACCCGGGAACUGCUUUUGAUACUGCUAUUCUAGAGUUUGGCAGAGGUUGGCGGAAUUCCUAGUGUAGAGGUAAAAUUCGUAGAUAUUAGGAGGAACACCAGUGGCGUAGGCGGCCAACUGGGCCAUUACUGACGCUGAGGCACGAAAGCGUGGGGAGCAAACAGG
rnacentral:rRNA from 1 species